CCCCUCUCAGGGUGGCACCUGGAGAGUUUCCAGUCCUUUACCAGUCUUGACGGCAGGAGGGAGAGUCAAACAGAGGCCUAUCCAUUCCACUCCUAGCUUAGGCAGUGGCUAGUGAGUGGAAGGCAAUCUGCUACAAGU